GGCGACAGCUGGUGCCCAGCUCCCCGGGAAGCCGCCUGGCGCCGCGUGCGAGCGCCCCGGGGGCUCGGGCUGCGGCGGGAGGGCUCCGGGCGCCCGCGGGGAGCCGGGGCAAGCGCCGGGAGCUGGCGCCAGACCCGUCCCAACGAGAACCCGGCCCCCCGGCGACAGGAGGGCGGCGAGCCCUUGAACCCGCUCCCACGGGGCUGGGGCGUGACACGGAGCUGCCCGUAACCUUCCCGAAGGCGGCUCCGAGUCCAGCCUCCCAAGCGGUGCGGGGCCCCCGAGGCGGCCAGGGGGCGGGCCGGGCCGGCCCCCGGGGCGUGCCAGGUCCGCCCGGGCUCUGCCCUGGAGCCGGGGAAGCGGGGCCGGGGCGCCCGGCGCUGCGGGCCGUUCGCCGGCGGGCUCGGGGAGGGAGCCGCAGCCGGGCAUGUCGGGGUUGGAGGCCGCGCUGCCGGCGGAGAAGGAGGAGGAGAGCGAGGAGGAGAGCGAGGUGCUGGAGGAGAGCCCCUGCGGGCGCUGGCAGAAGCGCCGGGAGCAGGUGAACCAGGGGAACAUGCCAGGGAUCCAGAGCACCUUCCUGGCCAUGGACACGGAGGAGGGCGUAGAGGUGGUGUGGAAUGAGCUGCACUUCACAGACAAGAAGGCCUUCAAGGCCCACGAGGAGAAGAUCAAUACCAUGUUUGAGCAGCUGGUGGUUGUGGAUCAUCCCAAUAUUGUGAAGUUGCAUAAGUACUGGCUGGAUGUGAAGGACUCCAAGGCCCGGGUGAUCUUCAUCACAGAAUACGUGUCCUCAGGGAGCCUGAAACAGUUCCUGAAGAAAACCAAGAAAAACCACAAGGCCAUGAACGCUCGGGCCUGGAAGCGCUGGUGCACACAGAUCCUCUCUGCUCUCAGCUUCCUGCAUUCCUGUGAUCCGCCCAUCAUCCACGGCAACCUGACGAGUGACACUAUCUUCAUCCAGCACAAUGGCCUCAUAAAGAUUGGCUCAGUCUGGCACAGGGUAUUUGCAAAUGCCAUCCCUGAUGACCUCCGAAGCCCCAUCAGGAUUGAGAGAGAGGAGCAGCGCAACUUGCAUUUCUUCCCCCCGGAGUAUGGCCAUGUAGCUGAUGGGACAGCUGUGGACAUUUUCUCCUUUGGAAUGUGCGCCCUGGAGAUGGCGGUGCUGGAGAUCCAGCCCAAUGGGGACAGCCAAGUCUCAGAGGAGGCGAUUGCUCGGGCAAGGCACUCCUUGGAUGAUCCCAACAUGCGGGACUUCAUUCUGGGGUGCCUGCUCCUCAACCCGGACAAGCGGCCGACAGCCCAUAACCUGCUCUUCCACCAGGUGCUCUUUGAGGUCCACUCCCUCAAACUGCUGGCAGCGCACUGCUUCAUCAGCCACCAAUACCUGAUGCCGGAGAACGUGGUGGAGGAGAAGACGAAGGAGCUGGACCUGAACAUGGUGAUGGCAGAGAUCCGGCGAGAGGGGCUGCCUGCAGUGCAGUGGAGAUACUCAGAAGUCUCCUUCCUGGAGCUUGAUAAGUUCCUGGAGGACGUCAGGAACGGGAUCUAUCCCCUGAUGAACUUUGCGGCCACCAGGCCCCUGCUGCUCCCGCGUGCGCUCUCCCAGCCUCAGGAAGACCCCCAGAAAGCCAAGACCCCCACCCCGGAGCCCUUCGAUGUGGAGACGAGGAAGGUGGUGCAGAUGCAGUGCAGCAUGGAGAUGAAUGAAGAGAAGGCCCAGUGGCAUCUCACGCUCUUGCUAACCCUGGAGGACAAGCUGCACCGACAGUUAAGCUACGACCUGCUGCCAAUUAAACCUGUUUCUGCAGCUGACAGUUCCAAGGGCUUGGCCUCAGAGCUGGUGCACUACGGAUUCAUCCAUGAGGAGAAUGUUACCAUGCGGCUCCUGGCAAUCUGAUGACCCCUCUACAGCAUCAGUUGCUCUGCUUAUCUGACCUUUGCCUCUCUGGAUCUCCACAGCCCUGCUCUUCUCCUUGCUAACACAGAGACAUGAGAGGAUGACUGUGAAAUGCUGGCCAACUUCCUAGAAAAUGCUUUCCACAAGCACCGGUCUCCUCCCUUGUGAGUCACCCCGAUGAGUUCUGGGCAGACAGGUGCCCCCCAAAGGAGGAUGGGAACUGUCCCAGGCCAGAAGGGGCUCUUGAUCAGACUUUCUGCUGCAGAGGUGACCUCGCCAUUUGUUCCUGGCUGUAUCUCUACUGUCCAUCUGGCCUGUGAUUCAGAAAGACAAUGGCAAGAAGAGAAAGAACCAGCAAACAUGAGGCAUUAGACAUGCGUCAUUGUUACCAGGAACCCACCAAGAAUGUGCUCUUUAGUCCCCACUUCUGAAGGAGGCCAGGGCGAGCGGUGAGGUGGUUUAAGGAGUGGAGGAUCAUGCAGGAAGCUUCUGGCUGGCGGGGUUUUUGAAGAUGCAAAGCUGCUGCAAGAGCUCACAAUCGGUAAAUUUACCUCUGGGAGCAAGAAGCACCUUCACUGUGGGCCAUCACUUCGCUUCCUCAGCUGGAAAUGGUCACAGCAGGGAGUGAGUCGGGUUGGGGGGAGUGCAGGUUUGGGAGGAUCUUGAGUAGUUUCCUGUCUGCCACAUUCCACCCCUUUUCCAGGCCUGAUUCCUCCUGCUCUGCUGGGUUCUCCCAGGGCAAAGGAGCCAUUGCAAUGCCUUAUAAGAACUGGACUCCCUCUGCUAGGCUGAGGAGAGGACAUUGUGAGUUGACUGACAUGGCAUGGGAAGAAAUUGCAGGAAUCCAGAACCAUCAGGUGGUUCAUAAAAUAUGGAUCAACAGAAGAACCACUGGUACUGAGCACAGCCUCUCUCAUUUCAAAGUUUGUCUCUUAGCCUUCCAAAAUUUCGCUACGUCCUAGGGAAAAGCCUUGAUGUCUCUUCCUUCCCUGUUUCUCCUGUGAAAUGUGGAAUUUCCAUCAUUAGACGGGAGAAUGGGGGCAAAUAUAGCUGCUGCUUGUCAGGUUCAAGAUUGGAAUAUUAUGCAAAUAGGAAUUGUGUAUCAAAAGCUGUGCCAUGCUGCUCUGCCUGCACCUCGCUGCUCUGAGUGUAGUUCGCACUGUGCCAUACGGGCCACGCUGACUUUUUUACACUGUGCCUGAUUCCCUGUCUAGUACUGGCUGCGUAUGCUUUGCCAUGCAGCGCAGACUGUACCCUGGUGUGCUGGGCUUGCCAUGCUGAGCUGCUUUGCCACGCUGUCCUGGCUGUUUAAUUACGUGAGUUUUCCAAGUGCUGAUAUUGUGCUAACUUUGUGGAUACUGACAUUUCAAUAAAUGGAUUGAAAAGAACAAA